UUAUUUGAGAGUUUGAUCCUGGCUCAGGAUGAACGCUGGCGGCGUGCCUAACACAUGCAAGUUGAGCGAUUUACUUCGGUAAAGAGCGGCGGACGGGUGAGUAACGCGUGGGUAACCUACCCUGUACACACGGAUAACAUACCGAAAGGUAUGCUAAUACGGGAUAAUAUAUUUGAGAGGCAUCUCUUGAAUAUCAAAGGUGAGCCAGUACAGGAUGGACCCGCGUCUGAUUAGCUAGUUGGUAAGGUAACGGCUUACCAAGGCGAC
rnacentral:rRNA from 1 species